UCCGGCGAAGCACGAAGUGAAAUAGUCACCACUCCGGUAACGUGUCUUAAUUUUGGAUUUAUUCCGCUUCCGCGUAACCGCUUCUCGCGUGAAUAUUAUUCUGCUUGAUUAAACCUGUGAUAUUGAGUGCGGAAAACCACAUCUUCCUAACGGACGCAUUAGGAUACGCACCGGUGUAAGCAUAACAGAAUUACCAGCCUGCUGAGUGAGGAGAAGACACUCACGAUCAAUCUCAAUUAUCACACGGAGUCAUCGACGGGAAAAUUCAUGCGAUCAAAGCCUGAAGUGUGAAGUACACGACUUGAACCAUCCAAACAGCAAGGCAAAGCAUAGGUGACAAACAUCGAUCCAGGAUCCACUCGUAGAUAUAUGGUGCGCCCGAUCGAAGCAGUACCGUUAUCAAUAACAACGACAAGCCCUCAAAAGAGGGCUUUCUUUUCUUUACCCAAUCUGAUUUUCGUGCUUCGACGACACUUCUACAGUGUGUAGCUACUAUCGGGUGGACGAGGACCGUAUCAUUUGAACCGUAUUCAUUGAGACCUGCGUCGCGCGCAGAAUCACCAGAUCGACAGGUCUGGUCACGUAGGCCGACUCGGACUUGAUUGCUGAUCCCGAGACGUACGAGCACUUGCUCAAAGACAAGCAGCAUCGGCAAGACAUCCAGAUAGUGCGAGUGUAACAUCCAAUUCGCGAUAGGCUACGGCCUUCGAUUUGUGCGUGUUUGUAACCAGCAAUGAUGCGAUCGGAUUAGAAUAACGACAAAACACACUUCGUUCACCGAGAAACCGUAGGUAGUAGAAAUGGGGCCCCAACAUUAAGCAAGCGAUGUGUUAGCAAGUAAGAGCAGAAGCAACAGCUGAGGCGGAUCUUUUGUU